rnacentral:rRNA from 1 species
ACUGACAGCCAUGGUUACCGCGGCUGCUGGCACGGAGUUAGCCGGUGCUUCUUCUGUGAGUGAUGUCCUUCCUGCCGGCUAUUAACCCGCAGGCCUUCUUCCUCACUGAAAGUGCUUUACAACCCGAAGGCCUUCUUCACACACGCGGCAUGGCUGGAUCAGGGUUGCCCCCAUUGUCCAAUAUUCCCCACUGCUGCCUCCCGUAGGAGUCUGGGCCGUGUCUCAGUCCCAGUGUGGCUGAUCAUCCUCUCAGACCAGCUACGGAUCGUCGCCUUGGUGAGCCGUUACCUCACCAACCAGCUAAUCCGACAUAGGCUCAUCCGAUAGCGCGAGGCCCGAAGGUCCCCCGCUUUCCCCCGUAGGGCGUAUGCGGUAUUAGCCUGGGUUUCCCCAGGUUAUCCCCCACUACCGGGCAGAUUCCUAUGCAUUACUCACCCGUCCGCCGCUCGCCACCAGGGAGCAAGCUCCCCGGUGCUGCCGCUCGACUUGCAUGUGUUAGGCCUGCCGCCAGCGUUCAAU